AUGGAGAUGAAGAAGAGGAUUAGUCUAGAAUUAUGGAACAGAGCCCCGGAGGAGGUAACAGAGUUAGUCCUUGAUAAUUGCCUGUGUGUCAAUGGGGAAAUUGAAGGCCUGAAUGACACUUUUAAGGAACUAGAGUUUCUGAGUAUGGCUAAUGUGAAAUUAAGUUCACUGGCCCGGCUCCCUAGCUUGAAUAAACUUUAAAGUUGGAACUUGGUGACAAUAUAAUUUCUGUAGGUUUGGAAGUCCUGGCAGAGAAAUGUCCAAAUCUUACUUACCUCAAUCUGAGUGGAAACAAAAUCAAAGACCUCAGUACUGUAGAAGCUCUGAAAAAUCUUAAAAAUUUGAAAAGUCUUGACUUGUUCAACUGUGAGAUCACAAACCUGGAAGAUUACAGAGAAAGUAUUUUUGAGCUGUUGCAGCAAAUCACAUACUUAGAUGGAUUUGAUCAGGAGGUGAAGGAAGCACCAGACUCGGAAGAGGAAGAUGAUGAGGAUGAAGAUGAAGAUGAAGAUGAAACUGGUCUAUGUGAAGGAUAUGAGGAGGAGGAGGAAGAAGAGGAAGAUGAAGACGAAGCAGAUUCAUAAUUGGGAGAGGAAGAAGAGGAAGUGGGCCUUCCAUACUUAAUGAAAAAAGAAAUUCAGGAUGAAGAAGAUAAUGAUGACUAUGUUGAAGAAGGGGAAGAAGAGGAGGAAGAAGACAACUUUUAUGGAAAGAAGAGAAAACAAGAUGCUGAGGAUGAUGGAGAAGAAGAAGAUGACUAAAUCAUUCUAAGAUUCAAUUUCCUAGAUCUCCUGGGUGUGCAACAGAGUGAUCACAUCUUCUUU